rnacentral:rRNA from 1 species
AACGAACGCUGGCGGCAUGCCUAACACAUGCAAGUCGAACGAGACCUUCGGGUCUAGUGGCGCACGGGUGCGUAACGCGUGGGAACCUGCCCUUAGGUUCGGAAUAACUCCCCGACAGGGGUGCUAAUACCGGAUAAUGUCUUCGGACCAAGGAUUUAUCGCCUUUGGAUGGGCCCGCGUUGGAUUAGCUAGUUGGUAGGGUAAAAGCCUACCAAGGCGACGAUCCAUAGCUGGUCUGAGAGGAUGAUCAGCCACACUGGGAGUGAGACACGGCCCAGACUCCUACGGAAGGCAGCAGUGGGGAAUAUAGGAAAAUGGGCGAAAGCCUGAUCCAGCAAUGACGCGUGAGUGAUGAAGGCCGUAGGGUUGUAAAGCUCUUUUAACCGGGAUGAUAAUGACAGUACCGGGAGAAUAAGCUCCGGCUAACUCCGUG